UUGCAUCAAGCAACCCCGCAACACCCGGCCAAGGGAACCGGUCUCUCACCUCCAGAGACCGGUCCCCGAGAGCAACAUCAGCCCCAUAAUGCAAUUUGCAUCAUUCGCUCUCGUGGACUCAACUCCAAAGCACUUUUUGUGUUUUGGACAUUCUUAACUCCCACAAAGGGGUAUUCUCUCGACAGCCAGUCGAUCCUGGAUGAAGUACAAUCCUCGAAUUUCGAGAAUUCACUUCCUU
rnacentral:lncRNA from 1 species